AUUGAACGCUGGCGGCAUGCCUUACACAUGCAAGUCGAACGGCAGCACGGGUGCUUGCACCUGGUGGCGAGUGGCGAACGGGUGAGUAAUACAUCGGAACAUGUCCUGUAGUGGGGGAUAGCCCGGCGAAAGCCGGAUUAAUACCGCAUACGAUCUACGGAUGAAAGCGGGGGACCUUCGGGCCUCGCGCUAUAGGGUUGGCCGAUAGCUGAUUAGCUAGUUGGUGGGGUAAAGGCCUACCAAGGCGACGAUCAGUAGCUGGUCUGAGAGGACGACCAGCCACACUGGGAGUGAGACACGGCCCAGACUCCUACGGGAGGCAGCAGUGGGGAAUUUUGGACAAUGGGCGAAAGCCUGAUCCAGCAAUGCCGCGUGUGUGAAGAAGGCCUUCGGGUUGUAAAGCACUUUUGUCCGGAAAGAAAUCCUUGGCUCUAAUACAGUCGGGGGAUGACGGUACCGGAAGAAUAAGCACCGGCUAACUACGUG
rnacentral:rRNA from 1 species